AAUCGGUGUCUCUGUUUUUUGACUCAAUCUAUUAUUUAACCUGUUACCUAAACAAUCGAAAAUUCUGACAAGAACCACAUGCUAUUUGGCAGAGCAGAACAUAACAAACACAGUAAUCCAAUCAGAGGCCCGGUAUUAAAAUGGCGAGGAGAGGGUCACACUAAAACAAAGCAUCUGAUUGGCUUGGGGCGUGUUUUAGAUGUAUUAGCUCUUAAAACUGGAGACAGACAGAGGUGCAAAAAUAAAGCGAUUGUAAGACAUGGGAGGAGACUAGCUCCUCAAAGCCAGCUUUUCUCUGGCAAGGGAAAAGAGACGGAAAACAAAGCGGGAAUUUAAGAGCUUGCAGUGUGUGUAAAAAUCACACGAAACGCUCAGAUGACAAGGGAGACUGUAAUAUCGAGUGGGGCUUGCUGUACGUCAGAAGGGAAGUAACGAAAGCUUACCGCCACAACAGCUUGUUUUGUUUUGGUUCUAAGGGGAAUUCUUCCUCGUUGCGAACAUAUGAACCCUCCCUCCAAAUUAGCGCGCACGUGGACAUAUGUUACAUUUGAUACUAGACACAGAACCUCUUCUGGAUAUUAAUUUUAUUUGAAAAUAAAUAUUUUACACAUCAUG